rnacentral:rRNA from 1 species
UACGGGGGGGGCAAGCGUUGUUCGGAAUUACUGGGCGUAAAGGGCUCGUAGGUGGCCAACUAAGUCGGACGUGAAAUCCCCAGGCUCAACUUGGGAACUGCGUCCGAUACUGGAUGGCUUGAAUUCGGGAGAGGGAUGCGGAAUUCCAGGUGUAGCGGUGAAAUGCGUAGAUAUCUGGAGGAACACCGGUGGCGAAGGCGGCAUCCUGGACCGGCAUUGACGCUGAGGCGCGAAAGCCAGGGGAGCAAACGGG